rnacentral:lncRNA from 1 species
CACCAGCUGCCCACAGAGCUGCCUCCAGGUGCUGAAGGCGAGGACAUGGCCUUCCCCGGACACCUGCAUGAUGAAGUGGAGAGAGCCUAUGGCCCGCCUGGGGCCUGGGGACCCCUCUAUGAUGAAGUACGAAUGGACCCCUAUGACCUUCGCUGGCCUGAGGUCCAGUGUGAGGAUCCGAGGGGAAUCUACGACCAGGUGGCAGCAGACAUGGAUGCUGUGGAAGCUAGCUCUCUGCCGUUUGAGCUGAGGGGACAUCUGGUGUGAGACGCUUCACAACACCCGUUUCCUACAGCCCUGGAGAAGAUGUGAGGGGAUGUGUUCAAGUGACAAGAGGACUCAGGCUGACAUCUGGGAUGACCAAGACUCCUUUAAUUGGAAUGGGCUUCUCUGAAGAGACAAAGUCAUUUGGAAACGACAUUUGGACAAUGGAAAUCCACUUUAGGGGGUCAUUAUACUUUUCAGAAGUAAAAUUUUUAGAUGUAGGAAAGACUCAUUAAAAAUCCUGUUCCAAGCCUGGGGAUGAGCCCAGUGGGAGUCCUGCCAUUACACACACACACACACACACACACACACACACACACACACACACACACAGAGCUGUACAUGCUGGCCCAUCACUGUCAUUCCAGCUCUGCAGGAAGCUGAGAGAGGAGAAGCACAAGAACAAAGUCACUGAAUAUUUAGAGGCUGGAAAGAUGGCUCAGAAGUUGAAGCUCUAACAGCAGUCACUGCUCUUGCAGAGGACCCGAGUUUGGUUCUCAGCACCCAAAUCAGGUAACCGACAAUGACAUCUGCAUCCCCAGGGAAUCUGAUGCUUCUUUCUUCUGAUCUCCAUGGGCAGAUGCACUUAUGUGCACAUACCCACACAUAGAAACACACAUAUACGCACAAUUAAAAAUAAAAUAAAUCCAACUGUAUGGUGACCCACACCUUUAAUCCUAGCACUUGAGAAGUAGAAGCAGGGGGAUUUCUAUAAGUUUGAGGCUUAUAACUUAGUGAGUUCUGAGAUCCAUAGUGAAACCCUGACUCAAAACAAAUAAUAAUUUUUAAAACGUCAGAAUUAAAAGGGGCGUGGCUCAGUGGUAAAGCCCCUGUCUAGAAUCCCCCAGUGAGGGACUGGGGGCGUGGCUCAGUGGUAGAGCCCCUGCCUAGAAUCCCCCAAUGAGGGAUUGGGGGCGUGGCUCAGUGGUAGAGCCCCUGCCUAGAAUCCCCCAGUGAGGGGCUGGGGGCGUGGCUCAGUGGUAAAGCUCUUGCCUGGCAUGCACAAGAAUCUGAAUUCUAUCCCUAGUAUCCAAAAGAACAAGACAAAGGCUCCAGUUUAUUUUAAGAUCAGUUACAUCUGAAAUAGUUAAUAUUAUUAAGCAAAAUUAUAGACCAUGUCAGAUCUUAGCUGUUUUUUGUUUUAUCUUCCACAGUUUGUGAAACAUAUAUGCACUGACACGCAAACAGGAACAGAUUGUAGCAAAGGGAUGAAGUUAUGAGAGAAUGAACACUUGCCAUUUUAUUUAUGGGCGUAGCUUAGGGACCAUGCACUGGUGUAUACUUAGAAUUAAAGGGUAUGGUAGCUUUAAUUCAUUUUCAAAAUUUAAAAAAAUGCACAUUUAUAGAGACAGAAAAGGGUAAGCUCAGACUCAAAUGUUGACACUGGAUGUGGUUAGCGCAGAAUGAAAAUUAAAAUUGAAGAGUUGAUGUAAUAAUAAAUGAUGACGUCACAGAAGCAAGAACGUGAUUGGCGGCUAGGACUUAGGGGCUGUGGAAUUCUAGAUGUCACACUUUGGAAAAUAAUCUACAUCACACUUAUUUGCGCGUGUGUGCGUGUGUGUGUGUCCACACGCAUGUGCGAUGUGUGCAUGCUUAUGCGCCUGACAGUGUACGCCACACAAAAUAAAUAAAAUGUAAACAUUA